AUGAAGAUGCCAGAGUGGUAUGGGGAUGGUUUAGGACCAUUUUACGGCUUUUAGCCUUUUCAUU
rnacentral:tRNA from 1 species